rnacentral:rRNA from 1 species
CAAAGGUUUGGUCCUGACUUUACUGGCAGCUUUAGCUAGAUUUACACAUGCAAGUAUCCGCCCCCCUGUGAGAAUGCCCAUAGUGCCCUUUUCGGGAACAAGGAGCUGGUAUCAGGCACACGACCCACGUAGCCCACGACACCUUGCUUAGCCACACCCCCAAGGGAAUCCAGCAGUGAUAAAUAUUAAGCCAUAAGUGAAAACUUGACUUAGUUAAAGCUAAGAGAGCCGGUAAAACUCGUGCCAGCCACCGCGGUUAUACGAGAGGCUCAAGUUGACAGACAACGGCGUAAAGAGUGGUUAAGGAAAACAUUCAACUAAAGCGGAACCCCCUCAUUGCUGUUAUACGCUUCCGAGGGAAUGAACCCCAACUUCCAAGGUGGCUCAUGUAUUACCUGAACCCCACUAUACCUGGGAUUAGAUACCCCACUAUAACUGGGAUUAGAUACCCCACUAUAACUGGGAUUAGAUACCCCACUAUAACUGGGAUUAGAUACCCCACUAUAACUGGGAUUAGAUACCCCACUAUAACUGGGAUUAGAUACCCCACUAUAACUGGGAUUAGAUACCCCACUAUAACUGGGAUUAGAUACCCCACUAUAACUGGGAUUAGAUACCCCACUAUAACUGGGAUUAGAUACCCCACUAUAACUGGGAUGAGAUACCCAACGG